UCAUUACCGAAUCGUCAAACACGGGUUGUUGCUGGCCUCCCAAACGGGGCAUGUGCACGCUCUGUUUACGCAUCCACUCACACCUGUGCACCCUCUGUAGUCCUAUGGUUCGGAAGACCCUGUCUUCCUUCUGUAGCUCUACGUCUUUACACACACGCCGUAGCGAUGUCUCAUGGAAUGUUUUUAUGCGUUUAACGCGAUACAAUACAACUUUCAGCAACGGAUCUCUUGGCUCUCGCAUCGAUGAAGAACGCAGCGAAAUGCGAUAAGUAAUGUGAAUUGCAGAAUUCAGUGAAUCAUCGAAUCUUUGAACGCACCUUGCGCCCCUUGGUUAUUCCUUGGAGCAUGCCUGUUUGAGUAUCAUGAACACCUCAACUCUCACGGUCUUCUGUGAUGAGCUUGGACUUUGGGGGUUUGCUGGCCCUGCGGCCGGCUCCUCUCAAAUGAAUCAGCUUGCCAGUGUUUGGUGGCAUCACGGGUGUGAUAACUAUCUACGCUCGCGGUCGUCUGCCAGGUAACCCUCAGCAAUGAAGGUUCAUUGGAGCUCAUAAACGUCUCUCCUCGGCGAGGACAACUUUUGAACGUUCGAUCUCAAAUCAGGUAGGAUUACCCGCUGAACUUAAGCAUAUCAU
rnacentral:rRNA from 1 species